rnacentral:lncRNA from 1 species
CUCUUCACCCGACAUGGGGCUUGAACUCACAACCCCAAGAUCCCUCAAGAGUUGCAUGCUUUAUGGGCUGAGCCAGGCAGGUGUCCCCAAACCAAGAAAUCUCGGUAUUACUUUUAUCCAUUGCUGCCAUCAGGUAAUGGUAUCGUGAUCUUUUUUCAUGGCUCAAAUAAUGGAAAUCGGUUAUUUCUCAGUCUGAGAGAAUUCACUGUAAGUGGCCACUUGGUAAAUUCUCUGUUCAUUUUAUUGAAAAGCCAGUAUGUUCUAAAUCUGGAUUAUUAAUACGUAUGAUGUGUUUUUAAUAGCAGGCAACUUGGGGUGCCUUGAGUGGCUCAUUCAGCUAAAUGCUUUGAGUCCUUUGGCUCAAGUCAUGACCCCAGGGGCCUGGGAUCAAGCCCCGCAUCGGGCUCCCUGAUCUGUGGGGAGCCUGCUUCUCCUUAUCCCUCUGCCUGCCGCUCCCCCUUCUUGUGCUCUUUCUCUUUCUGUGUCAGGUAAAUAAGUAAAAUCUUUAAGAUAAUAGCAAGCAACCUAAUUAAAAAUUUUUCAUUUACAUAAAGCAGUUUCAUUUCUUGUGUGCAAUAAUAAUAAUAACAACACACAACUGAAACCUAUGAGCAAUUCAGGUUCUACUCCAUGUUCCCACUGUUCCUUGUCUGUUCAGGGAAUGGAUAUGUAUCUUACUAACUUUCAGUACUCUUUGAGGUCACACUGAAUUUCAGGCUCUGUAAGUUCUCACUUACUGUUACAAUAUUAAUAAGCUUCAGAGGCUGUUUAUUAAAAUAACAAUCUGGUGUUGACUUAAAUUGGAAGAAUUCUACUUGUCUCUUACUGAAUGGUUCCUCCUAAAACCAAAUCCAGAGGAAGUAAGAACUCUAUUGGUGCCUUUCUACAUGGAUACUUUGAACUAUUUGAUUAAAAAGUGUUUGGGUCGGGGAUGAUCGUUUUAAUCUCUUUGUGGUUUUCAUUUGCCUUUAUUGUGAUUAUUUCAAGCCAUCUUUCCACAUUAAUAAUUCCAUUUACAGCCAUGUCUACUCUACUCCUUGCUUUUUUGAUGUAUUUAUUAGCUCUAUAAUGAUAUUGUUUCGGUCUUGGCUUUGUUGGAUGUGCAAUUUCUCUAUUCAUCUCUUUCAGUUGUUUAUCUCAUUUUUGAGUUUUUAAAAUUAUUUACUUAUUAUUAUUUUCAUUUUUGAGUUCUUUUUUAUAUAUAUAUAUUUUUUAAGACUUUAUUUAUUUAUUCAUAGAGAUGCAGAGAGAGAGAGAGGCAGAGGCACAGGCAGAGGGAGAAGCAGGCUCCACGCAGAGAGCCUGACGUGGGACUCGAUCCCGCGACUCCAGGAUCAUGCCCUGGGCUGCAGGAGGCGCUAAACCGCUGCACCACCGGGGCUGCCCUAUUUUUGAGUUCUUAAUCGCGCUCAUUUUCUUCGUAGGUUAUCCUAGAAUUCAAAGCACUUGGGGUGAACGCCUUUGAUUUCUCUCCUUGCCUCCUAAAUUCCUUGCCACUUUAUCUUUUUUUUUUUAAAUUUUUUAUUUAUAUAUA